rnacentral:ncRNA from 1 species
UAAUAGUUUGAUUUUUGCUACAAUCUCAGCUCUAGUAAAAUAUUAUACAUGCAACUAACCAGUAACCCGUACAAAUUAUAUAACACCUAAAAGAAUUAUAAAAAUUAUAAGCUUAUAGCUAAGAAAAUAUUUAUACGCCUGCAGUAAAGCAUAUUGUAUAUAAAUUAAACUAAUGAUACAGAUAUUACCUCUAAGUGCUGACCAAAUUCGUGCCAGCAGUCGCGGUUACACGAUAAGCACAAGUUGAGACCUCACGGAUAACGUAAUGAUGUAAAUAGAUAAACGUAAUGGUACAAUAUACAAAACAUUAAUAAUAUAAUUAACAUCAAUUUAUAAACGAAAGAAUAGACCAAAACAAGGAUUAGAUACCCUUUUAUUCUAUUCUGUAAAUAAAUUUCCGGGCACUACGAACCCAUGUUUAAAACCCAAAAAAAUUGGCGGCAUUUUAUGCUAUUAGGGGAGUCUGUUAGUUAAUUCGACAAUCCACGUUAAAAUCUUCUUACUCUAGAUUUCAGCUUGUAUACUGCCGUCGUAAGCUAACAUUAUAUAAAAUUGUUAGCAAUAAAAACAAAUUUCCUACGUCAGGUCAAUGUGCAGCCCAUGAGUAAGCCUAAAUGGACUACAUUAAAUAUUAAAACAGGAAAGUAUAAAAAAACUUAUACAAGAAUAUGGACUUAAUAGUAAAAUAUAAAUAAUAAGUAUAAUUGAAUAAGCAAUCUAAAAUGUGCACACAUCGCCCGUCACUCUCACCACAAAGGCGAGAUAAGUCGUAACAUAGUAGGUGUAACUGAAGUUGUACCUU